CAUUAAGUGACUGAAAGUAAGUAUUGGUCUCUUAAACCACAUUAUAGUAACUUAACAUCUACUCUUAAUGAAAAGAA
rnacentral:tRNA from 1 species